CUUCAAUAGCUCUAUCUCAUAAAAUUUCUCUUCAGAAACCCUAAAUCCCAAAAUUUCUCUUCGCACGAUAACCCUUCAGUCGCUAAACGCUCCUUCCCUGAACUCAAUCGUUCAACCCUUCAUAUGCUGCUGAAACCCUCAUUCGAUGGCUGAACUCAACCGCUCGCUGAACUCAAUCGAUGGCUGAACACUUGAUUCGCUCAAUAGCUCCCUCCCUAAACUGAAUCGCUCCAAAUUUCUUCUCACAAGCCAUCAAUCCUUCAGUGGCUCAACCCCUCUUCUCUAAAUCUCUUGUCACAACUAGAUUUACUGGAGGUAAGGGAGAACCGCGUUUCUCUGCAGUUAUUUUGUGGGUUUAAGCUAUUAUUUUCAGCGUUUGGUCGCAAGUUCCAUGAUUUUGUUCGAUUCAUAUUUAGAAUGCUUACUGUAGGUUUUUUUUAGAAGCUACUUGUUUCUUUCAUAUUUUCCUUAUACAACAAAAUGUUGUUUGUGAUUUUUUCUCACAAGUAUUUUGUAUUCCUGCUUUAUUUUUUAUUUUCAAGUGUCAAUAAUCUUUAGUGGGAACUGACCUAUUAUAUUAGGUUUGUAGAUGCAACAAUGUAUUUGAAUCUACCUUAUUGUGUUUCCUGUAUGAAUAAAGUGAGGAUAACUCAAAUUUCUGUGAGACUUAUAUAUGCUAUUGUUUUUUAUUCUGAUUUCUUGUCUUGUGUUGUGUGUCUCUUAAUGGCUUUUUUUACAAUUUACUAUAAUGACAUUACCCUUUGAGAAUUAUUGGCUAUGAUUGGAUUCCCUUAUCUGCCAAACUAGUUUUAACUAUGAACAAUGUAUACAUACUCUUCUGGAUUUGCAAACUCAAUGAGAUGUAGGAAAGGGAAAAAAGAUGGCAAGUUUUUCUAGCAGUGCCAGUGCUUCGAUGAUGACGAAAUGUACUGCUGACAGUUUGAAUUCUGAUUGUACGUGUGCGGGUUCUUUGACCUUCUCUCUAGACCUUGGUGAAGCCGGUUUCUUGGGAUUAACUGGAUUACAGAAUCUAGGAAAUAUUUGCUUCAUGAACAGUGCCCUUCAAUGUGAAAUGUGUAAGUGGAUCAAGCUACUCAUGGUGGUGGCAGAGCAUAUGGUGCAUUGCUGUUGGAUGCUGGAGGUACCCUCUUGAAGUUGAUCAAUCUUGUUCAAUAUACUUAUGCCGUUAUUGGAUCAAGAUAUGGAGGUCAGGUCAGAGCGGAAUUACAACUUCUAGAAAGGAGACUGAUACAUGUAAAAUAUUUUCAGGAGUUUCAGAUGGUGUUACUACAGAAACUCCAAUCCACGUAUUUGUGCCUAUCUCUUAUUUAUGGGCAAAAUACCUCAAUUGUCCAUAAUGGUUUUUUGGGAUGAAGGGAAAAUGUAUAUUGGCAUUCCAUUACCAGAAUAUGUUUUGUACUCUUAUAAGGGAGGUUGGGAGAAUGAUGAAACUGUUGAAGAGGCUGCUGUAAGAGAAGCUAUAGAAGAAGCAGGAGUUCGAGGUGAUCUAAUGGUGAGAAAUGUGAAUUUAAUAACUUUUGAGCUUCUGCAAUAAUGCUUUUGAUUUUUCUGUAAUAUCACGAUGGAUUUAAGAGUCUGAAUGUUUUGACUUUUGAUGAUCUCAUAAUGGGAAUCUAGGUUCGGUGCAUAUAGUAAAGUCAUAUCAUCUUCGGUCCCUGUAAUUUUUUUUGGCUGAAAUGGUUCCUAUAAUAUUUACCUUUUUCACUUCAGUCGAUGUUUGCUUUGUUUCCGUCCCUAUAAAAUACUUUUUUUGGAUUUGUUUUAGUCCCUGUGAGGAUCACUAACACCACUGCCAAUAGCAGCUGCAAAAGUACUAGUUGAUCCCGAUCCUAAUCCUGUUUCCCAAACAUCCCGAUUCUAAUCCUUUUUAGUCAACAGGGUUAUUGUCAUGUUGGUGAUGUUUUGAUAAUAUUACACAACAUUGGUACCAUUGUUUUGCAGCUUGCAGUUUGAAAAUACCUUCUACCAUAGAAUUCUCAAGGCUAGGAACUUUUCUCCACUAUAAGAGAUUACUACUCUCACAUGUACUUAAAACCAGUAAAUUUUAUAUCACCGGGCUUAUUAGUUAAUAUACCCCUCUCAUGGCAAGUAACAAGAAGCAAGGCUUAAUCUCAAGUAAGGCUUGAUGAGUGGUGCCUGUGAUUAGCAUACUCCCGAUUAGCAUAGUUGGGAGUUUCCCAAAGAAAAAUUGAAGGUGUAUCCCGUGUUCGACACUAACAUAACACCGACACAUGCAAUUAGUAUUUAGUACACUUCAUUCAUUUCCUUAAAUCAUUGUCGGUGUUCUGUCUAGUCUUAGUAUUUGACACUAACACAACAUCAACACAUUUGAUCAGUACACUUAAUUCACUUUGUUAAUUAUUGUCGUUGCCAUGUCUAGUCUCUAGUUUCUGUAAAUGUUUGAUAGCAAAUUUGGCUCAAAAAUCAAAAUGAGAAAACCAUGAUAAUUCUACUAGGAUGAAUGAAGAUCUAAUGGUUAAAGGGGAUAAUAUAACAAUAGAAAUUAAUAAACAUCUUUCUUUGGAUGGAACUGUAAAACCGAAAGUUGAUUAUCAAGUGAAAGGCUUAUUUCUGUCUUGAAGUACAAUCAACAAAUGAAAUCAUGUUUAGAGAAUUCAAUUACAUUUAUGGUAUCAUAACAAAUCUAUAGAGAUGUGAAGAAAACUGAGUUCUAACAGAAAUCUGUGUCUUAUGAAUCCCAUCUUGUGCUAAUGAAUGAGGUUGCAUUAAAAUAUUUAUUAAAUCUAAUGUGUUUCCAUACUAGCAUCUAUUUUAUAAGAUAUUAUGAACCUAUCUUGUGAUAUCUUCAUGUUGUUUUGAAGUAUUUUGGAAUUUGGAUUGUCUCAUAGGGUUUGUUUAUCAUCUCAAAUUGUUGCAAAUUAUUUUAUCAGAAAGUUUUCAUGUUUGUUUGUAAUAGUUAGUAUAAAUGAAAGUUAAGGUUUAGUCUUUUUGUAUCAUAAUGUAACAAUUAAUCAAUCAUAUCAAACCAUAAUCAUAAUUUAAAUUUUUUAUUUUUGCUGUUCUGUUUAACUGCAACUUCGACAACCUAAAGGAGUAAUGCAAUAUGAACUCAGAGUCAUUGAAUAAUAUGUCUUCAUUUAUCUUUGGCAUCUCACCAUUUUGAUCUUCACUUUUUUCAGAUAGCUUAAAUUUUCUUUUUGUCUAGUAUUAGAACAUGUUUAAUUUUCCAUUUGAGCAAGAUUGAGGAGCAAAAUCUACAAGAUCAAAUGCAAAUGGUUGAAGAGGAUAAGGACAUAGAAAUGUUGCCCAAACAAAAGCCAAAGAAGAAGAAGAAAACUUAUAUAGGAAG